GCCCAACUAAAAGAUGAAAUGAAUAAAUUGUCCAUUAUUUGGACAACAGAACACUAUACAGCAAGGUGGGAUUUCCUGGUAUACUCAUAACCUUUAGGAUUUAACCUCAGAAGUAUAGAUGACUGCUCUACAUACUGUAUUUUCAAAUUUCUAUGUAACAUUCAGGAAAGUUGAAAGCAAGGGAGAAAAGACAAGAUAGGAACUUAGCACCACGCCAAGAAGUGUGAUAGACAAAAACAAUUGAGGGGGGCACCUGGAUGAUACAGUUUAUUAAGCAUCUGGAGGCUAGGUCCUGAUCUCCAGGUCUUGAGAUUGAGUACCCAGUCAUGCUCAAGCACUCAUGGAGUCUGCUUGAGAUUCUCUUUCUCCCUCUACCCCUCUCCUCCUGCUCGUACUCUCUCAAAUAAUCUUAAAAAAAAAAAAAAAAAAAAAAAAAAAAAAAAAAAAA